UACGAAGGGGGCUAGCGUUGCUCGGAAUCACUGGGCGUAAAGCGCACGUAGGCGGCUUUUUAAGUCAGGGGUGAAAUCCUGGAGCUCAACUCCAGAACUGCCUUUGAUACUGAGAAGCUCGAGUCCGGGAGAGGUGGGUGGAACUGCGAGUGUAGAGGUGAAAUUCGUAGAUAUUCGCAAGAACACCAGUGGCGAAGGCGGCUCACUGGCCCGGUACUGACGCUGAGGUGCGAAAGCGUGGGGAGCAAACAGG
rnacentral:rRNA from 1 species